rnacentral:lncRNA from 1 species
GCUUUAAACCUUUUAUAUUAUAUUUUCUUUCAGCAUGCCAAGAUUCCCUUUUCUUUAGUUUUCCUUUUAAAAAUUAUUUAAAAGUUUAUAGGACCAGGUUAUUAUGGAACCAAAUUUGAUUGAUUAUGCAAAUGAUAAAAUAAUACCUUUUAAAACAUUCAUGGUUUAAACAUUUUUUAUUUUGUUCCCACUCCCCCUACCUCCAUCACCACCACCUCCUGCAGCCAGGGCCUCAUGCUUGCUCUAACACUGAGCUAAAUCCACAACCCCUUAAAGAUUUUUAAAAAGCAUAACAUUUAUGCUUUUUUUUUUUGGUUUUUCAAGACAGGGUUUCUCUGUAUAGCCCUGGCUGUCCUGGAACUCACUUUGUAGACCAGGCUGGCCUCGAACUCAGAAAUCCGCCUGGCUCUGCCUCCCAAGUGCUGGGAUUAAAGGCGUGCGCCACCACGCCCGGCUCAUUUAUGCUUUUAGACAGAGACAUUUCAAAAGAAAAGUAAACAUUUCACACAGGAAGCUAGAGCAUAAUCAGAGCUGCUGAGGAAGCAGAGAUGGAAGGAUAGCAAGUUCAGGGCCAACCGGGGCUGGCUGCUAGUGAGUGCAGGCCAGCCUGGGCACUUGGUGAGACCCUUUCUCAAAAACAGAGGCAAAAAAAAAGCAAAAGGGUUGGGAAUGAAUGUAAAUCAGGCAUAGCACACAGGAGGCCCUCAGUUCAAUAACCAGUAUCUUGAAAAAAAAAAGUUUUUAUUUUUUUAGAUCACAUGAAGACAGUGGAUAGACUAAUACUAGAAUGAUUCGAAACAAGGGGUGGCAUUCACAAUUACAUUUGCAUUUUAAUAUGGUCACUGAAUACUCUGGAAACAGACUAGGGACAGGUCAGACUGAUAGGAGGCUGUUAGAGUAACCAGGACAAGAAAAGGCUUUACAUGUGACAAUAAUGAGAACCUAGAAAAGAAGGUCAAUCAUGGGGGUUGGUGGGGGAUGGGGUGGUGAGGGACUGGUUAUGACGGAAAGGCGAGGCAGCUUUGAAAAGGGCACUUGGGCUUUUUACCCUG